UGAAGCCGUCGCCAACCUUUGCUCUUUUAUACAUACUUUAUGUUACUAAACAUGUAAUGACAAGUUAUUAUGAGUUAAAUUCAUACCAUUUUCCAGCAACAGCGACGGGUAAAAAAUGGGGAUUCAUGGCCGCAUAAAUGUAGAAAAAUAAGGAAGAGAUCUGACACUAACCGCAGUAGAAAAUGGAUCCAUGGUGCUGUUGAACGAGUUGGGAGUUUCCGGUCAGAUCCACGCCUUCGAUGUCGGUGAAAGAGGAAGAGGUCGGUUAGCCUUGUCUGGGAUUUACACCGGACUGUGGGAGAGUGUUGGGUUUGUGGAAGGGCAAAAGUGGAAGGCUAGCCAAAGAAUUUUGCUAUUGUACUGAGUUGUUGUCAGGGC
rnacentral:lncRNA from 1 species